GAAUGGGGGGUCAGCACCAAAUAACAAUGCCUGUCUCCACAGCAUGGGACCUGGGGUGCGUGCUGGGAGGCAGAAGGCCGCAGUUUGUAUUCUGACCCCAUGGUUUACAAGCGGCAUGACCUGGAGGAAACUUCCGAGCCUCAGCUGCCUCACCCCUGACAUGGAGAUCUCAUUGACGUCGACCCCAGAGCAGCAGUGUGGGACUGAGAUGACGUGUGCCUGGCCAGUAAAAUAAUGAGAAUAAUCUAUCUCGGAGAGCAAGCACCUGGAGGAUUAAAUGAGGCAACAUGAAGCACCCACACAGAGUAAUCACUCCAUACAGGAGGAUAGGAUUACUGUGGUUGACGCUAUUUUUAUUAUGAACCAGGUGGCUUUGGGCAAAUGGCAUAAUGUCUCUACACCCCAUUUCCCCGAUCUCCAAAAAUAACAAUAAAAGCUUCACAGAGGGGCUCUGGGCAUUCAAUGAGAUAAAACAUGUAGCAUGAGGGCGCCUGGCUGGCUCAGUCUGGAGAGCAUGUGACUCCUGUCCUCCCGGUCGGGAGUUCGAGCCCCACGUUGAGCGUAGAGAUUACCUCAACAAAUUAAUUAAUUAAUUAAAAUCAAAAUAAAACAUGGAGCCUGACCCUACAUAGGCAACAGCUAUUACAGGUCAACAGCAUUUCUACGAUCAUCAUCAUGAUUUGCGCCGGCCAGCAGAGCUUGUCUCCAAGCCAGAGGAGCAUCAUCAUGAAAAACAACAGCUACCACUAGUGAGCAUUUACGACCUGCCAGGCGCUGUGCAGAGCACGAACAUGUCACCGCUGAUCUGGGAGAAGAGCAUUACUGUGACUGCAGACACUGAGGCUCAGUGAGAAGCCAAUGGCGUAGGGAGCGGCCAGAAAAGCCACCAGCCUGCUUGUGUCUUGGGUCAUAUAUGGCGCUGCAGAUAGGAUGCUGGAAGUCAGAGACAUGGGUUCCUAGGCCACUCGAUACCCAGAAACGCCCCUCAUCUGUAAACUGGGAAUAAGGACAUCUGACUUCUAGGGUUGGUGGGACUUUGAGGUGAGAUUCCAGUGACCAGGGCCUGGCACUUAGCGAGGUCUUCAUAAGUGGUAGCCGGUGUGAUGUUUGAGGGCCUCCUCUGCACCAGCCUGCGUAGAAGCUGGAGACCCAUAGCUCAUGGCUUCACAGCGCCUGCUCCACCAGGACAAGCCAGGUUACGCUGCAGCAACAAACAACCAGUAGUUAGUCAACAAAAGCCGAGCUCAUACCCGUGCUGUGUGUCCAACGCAGGUGGGCAGGAGUCUCUAUUCACCCAGAUGCUCGGGUACAGCAGCUCGUGGCUCCUCCACUACAUGCACAUUUCCAAGAUCCCAGGCAAAGUGAGGAGUCCAGUGAGCCACAUAGUGGCUCAUAAAGCUUGGAUCACCAACAUUUUAGCAGCUACCGUAAAUCACAUGGUUAGGGCUAACCUCAAAGGGAAAUCUAACCUUAUCGUGCUACGAAGGGCGGGGCGGAGGACAACCGCUUGAAAGUCCCAUAAUCUAGGAGGGGAGGCAAAUAUGGACACAGCUACCCUGAUGGAGUUAUGUCCUCACUCUAAGCAUCGUGAACGCAGAGGAGCAAUUCUGUCAAGAGGUCCAGGGAGCCUACAUGGCAGGGGUGAGCAGCGGCCUGGUGCUUUGACCAGGGGAUGGUUCUGUCGCUGGAGCAAGGAUCCAGGGCCAGCUUUCCACGAUCCAGGAGCUGCCUGAAACAGUGCAAGAUCUUGUGUGUAGGUGGGUUUGUACAUUUUUCUGGGAAGAACUUCUUAACUUCCAUCAUUGAAGACCAAAGAGCAGCAGACGACAUCUGUGCCCUUCUCCUGACAUCAGUCUUUCUAUUACAGCGCAACUUCAAAUGCAAUGUUCAAACCAGCAGCUGCCCACAGCCUGGGAAGCUGUAAAGAAUGCAGAGUCCCAGGACCAGCCCUGACCAACUAAGCUAGACCGUCUGGGGGCUGGACCAGGCAAUCUGGGUUGUAACAAGUUCUCCGGAACUGGGGGAUGAAGCUGUGAGUGAAGCAUGGGGAGCGCUGCGGAGUGAACUCCACCACCUGUGGCCCGAUAACGCUUUACAGUGUCCGGAGGGCAGCAUGCACCCUACCUCGUGCCCUGCCGCCGGUUCCGCCAAAGAGCCAAGGAGAGCGCGCCAGGCUCCCCGACGGGCACAGAGGAAGUGUUCAGUGAAUGUCACUGAGAGAGAGAGACAGGACAGGAAAAGUGAGCAGAGAAGGAAAGAAUAGCCUAAAAAUAGGCACUCUGGAAUCAGACAGCCCUGGGUUCAAAUCUCAGCCCGGCCAGUUAGCAGUGGUGUGUAGGGGGAGGGUAUCUCAGACAGGAUCCCUCCCCUCUCUGGGCCCACCUUCUCCAUCUGACCCCCCUGGGGAAGACGGUCUCAGCUCCCUCACAGGACUGUGCACACAGCCCACUGCCCGGGCUCUCUAAAGGAACAGAAGAGAAUAACAAUUGUUUUACUAAUUCCCAUGCUCACUCUCAGUAACUCCCUUCCAGAGGUGAGCAGAGGGAAAACCCAAGGUGGUUCCACUCUAAGUGCCAGAGGCAAGAAUCAAGCCCAGGCACAGCGCAUAGGCCUCGUACCCUCAGUGCACAUAGGUUCACACUUGCACACACGCGCCCUCUUUGUCCUUGAUAAGCGCUGCUGAAGCCCCAUCUGACACAGGUAGGCAGAGCCCCAGGACUCAGGGUCAGUGGUCAAAUCAGUGUUUCCCAGCCUCAUCUGUGCUGAAGGAGAAUCUAGCAAAUGUGUUCAAUAGAGAAAUUCCUGGCCCCACCCUUGGCGGUUCUGAUUCUGCGGGUCUGUUUCAGGGCCCCAGAAACUGCAUGUUAACAUGUUCUUGGGGAUUCUGAUCCUCAGCCAGGUCCUUGAGACUUGCUCUGAAUUCCAGCUGUUUCAGAACAUGUAGGUCUGGAACAUCUGAUAAGGAGAUGGAGGUCUGACUCACACAGGACCCUGUACUCAGUCCUGAUACUGCCCCUCCCCCACCAUGAACCCUUUUCUCCCCAGGAAGCUACCUGCCCACCCAUCUCCACGAUGCCCUGUGCUACCGCUCCCUUUGUGUCUUGAAGCAGGGAGAAGGGGCAGCUGUAUUUUUAGGUGACUUGGAUGGGGGAAAGAGCACUGGACUGGGAGUCAGGAAACGCUUGCCCCACCACCUUCAGGCACUCAAAGCCUCCAGUCCUGCAUCCAUAUGUGGGGCUGACUCCCCUGACAGGAGGUCAGAGGUGGACGCUCAUCAGGGCCCCACACUGCACAGCAACCCUCCUGCAGCCUGCACCAAACUUGGUUUUCUCCUCUUGAAGUAAGGGCCCCAUAAAAUCCACCCUGGACCCUGGCUGAGAUAGUGGCUCCGAAAGUGCCAAAUGAGGGACAGACCCGGCAGCGGCUCUCGCCCAGGAAACUCAGCACCUUAGGAAGGGGAGAGAUAAGGCCUCCUCCGUUGCUGCUGGGGGAACACCCCCUCCUCUGCCGCUUGGAUUUCUCCACUCUCUCCCAGCCAGAGAUGUGCCUGGGAGUUUAUCAGCGGGGAAUGGCAGGGCCUGCUAAUCAGAGGCUGCCCUGGGCCAGGGGAUUAACUCUGCAGAGCGGAGCAGGCCAGGGUCAGGGGCCCCGGCUACCAGCUGUGCCCCAAGGGUUCUCCGCUUGUGUUGGGGAGGAGGGGGUUUCUGGGACCCUCAGGGAGGAACCCAGGGCAAGGCAACAGAUUAAGGCUAAAUGUUGCAUUUCACUGUCCUGCUUAGGACCCUCCAGGGGGCUUCCUCUCUACAUAGAAUAAACCCCCAAACCAUGCUAUGCCCACAAGGCCCUGCUGGCCUCUCGGCCCUCUCCCUGUGGGGCUCUCCAGCCCCACCUGCCUUCCUUCCCUGCUGGACAGCUGCCCCCAGGUGGUUCUCACUCUAGGGCUCUGGAACUGGCUCUUCCUGUGUCUGGGACCCCUCCUUUCCAGACUUCAAAAGACUGUCUUCUGGGUGUCUUCUCAAAUGGCACAUCCCGAAGAGGGCUCCCCCAGCUGCCUUCCUGCGGGAGCCCCUCCCACCCCACUGUCACACUGUCAUCGCUCUGGAUUUGUUCUUUCUUUCCUUUUUUUGUUGUUGUUUUUGUUUUUGUUUUUGUUUUAUUUAUUUGAGAGAGAGACGGCAUCAUUGGGGAGGGGAGAGGCAGUGGGAGAGAGAGAAGCAGACUCUGCUGAAUGUGAGACUUGAUCCCAGGACGCUGAGAUCAUGACCUGAGCCAAAGCCAGACAGUUAACAGACUGAGCCACCCAGCUGCCCCUCUCUGUUUUAUUUUUCGGUCAGAGACUCAAAUUCAUACCUGUUUUCUGCUUCUUGUCUGUCUCUGCCAUGAGGAGGUGAGCUGAGAUUCUCUCCCCACUGUUAGGACAGUACGGGCACCGGCUGGAGGCUCAGAGCAAUUUACAGGAUGAAGGGUAUAGAUUUGGCAAGAUGUCCUGGGCUCUGGUCAGGGACCAGGGUUGGGGAGAUAAGGAGGUUAUGCCAGGAGCCCGGCUCUGAGGAGUCCACAUGCUUCCCAUUGUGGGAGAGCAAACACCCUGGGUAUAUUUUUUUAAUUUUCUUUUUAAUUUUUUAAUUCAAAUUCAAUCGGCCAACAUAUACUAAGUACAUCGUUAGUCUCAGAUGUAGAGCUCAAUAAUUUAUCAGUUGCUUAGCACACCCCGUGCUCAUAUCACGUGCCCUCCUUACUUAAUGACUCUCAGACUGGGUGUAUUUAAAAAGGCAGGCAACAAAUGCUGGUUUCAGGUGCAAGCCUGGGGUUGGGCCUGGAGGAGGUGGUCCCAUACCUGGCCACGUGGCUCGAUGCCCAGGGAACUCGUUACAAAGAUGGCGACCUGAACUUCCCCUCCAGGAGCCGGUAGGAUGGGAGGGACUUUGGAUCCUCAGUGGUGAAAGAAGGCUUCCCAGAGGGGCUGUGUGGUGAACAGAGCCAGCAGGUACAUCUGGGGUUGAGGAGGAGAGGGUCACAGGGAAGGCUGGACACCUUCCCUUGUCCCAAGGGCAAGACCCCAGGGUGGAAUAUGGUAAGUGUUGGGGAGGCCCUGAAGAAAGGAAGCUGGGCAGAGUUCAGGCCCUCUGAGCUCCUCCCAGUCACCCCCUCCUCCUGGGAUAUCCACCAUCUACUGUCCCAGAUGCAGCUCUGCCCGUGGGCUCACAACCAGCUGGUAUCAGAGACCAGUUCACACCCUGCCUCCUACCCACUCCCAACAAGACCUGGGUCAGCUGUCAACCCCUGCUUCCCUACCUGGUAUGGUGAGGUGCUUCCUGCAGAGCACAGCUGACCCUCUGAACUGGGUUGCGGCCAUGGUCCUGCCAUAAAUUUGAGUGGCCAUAAGAAAGUUACUUAAGAAUC